CGCCAUCCAUGGCUCCUCCGCUAUUGGUCCCAUCUCCGUUCUGGACAUCACCCUGCGACACCAACGCUUGGCGUGCUCCUCCACCAUGGCCCUGCUCGGACCACGCAUCCAUCGACGCCACCGUUGAGAAUCCACCCCAACUCGAGCAGUUCACUGGCGUCAUGGAGGUACGUGACCUAAAUCUCAAAACUCAGGUUGUUUCCUGUUUCUGGCAUCUCCAGAUCCCCAAAUCUGGUGCAGCUCUAGGAAUCCCCAAAUCCGGCCUCAGAUCUGAUCUAUAGACUGUGGUUUGGAUGCAUAAUAAUCCCCAAAACUGGUGCAGCUCCUUGGAUCCCAAAUCUCUUUCUGGAUUUCAGCUAUGUCUUUGAGGAAAUUGCAACCAUUUUUUUCUGCCUUAUUACUUAAAUUAGUUUGGAGGCAGCAGCAUGUAUCCACAGGAUCUGAAAUUUUACUAAGAAUGGUUGGGAUACUUGAGGUGUACCCGGGGAGUUUCAAUUAGUUGUCAUACUUUUAGUACGAAUGGGUUUGGAUACAACUGUACGUAUCCAAAAUGCAUGUAAUGUUGUUUCAGACUAGAUGAUAAUUUUCUUUCUAUUUCAGUGGGAUUUUUUCAUUGACGUACUGUAGAACACCAUAAUAAUUCAAUCUCUAUUUUUUUCUGUCCAUGCAUUUUGAUUUUACCUACUUCAAAUAUGUUGACAUUCAGGAAGCACUGAGCAGCUGCAUUGCAAAUAUGAGGAACAUCGUCAGUGCAAGAAGUUCAGGUUCACUCAAGGGCAAGAAAUAGUCUCAUAAUUUUGUUCCAAAUAGUAUGUACCAUUCCCCACUUUGAUACUUAUGAACACCCAUUUGAGAUCUCCCUUUCCUACUUGCAGUUCAUCCAGAUCAAUAGUAGGAUUAAAGGUUCAUGAUCCAACUAUAAGAGAGGUGUAAUAUCCUCUGCCCUUGACAUGGUAUGGUACAUUCUGUUAUUUCCCUACCUGUCUCCAAAUUCAUGUAUUUAUUAAUUUCGAUUCAAGUUUUCUAGCUUGCAAGAUCAUGCUAUCUUCAAUAUACUCAAGAACAAUCUGAAAAUGCACCUAGACAUUGUAUUUCAGAGUAUUGACAAUGAAACUGUACCAGGAAAGGCCUAUUACCAGCAGCUAUGCUCAACAUAUGAACGCUUUGUUAUAACAAUUAACAAGACAGAUAUGUUGAGGGGCUCCUAUCAUGGGCCAUACUAUAUGUCAUCUUAAUUUAGUUACUCCUUUUACUACUCGCUUCUUGGAAUUUCCUAUUCUCUUAUUAUCUAGUACUUAACAGUUCUUGUGUAUUCCUCAUAUUUAAGCUCACCGUGUUCUUCCUUCUCCCUUAAGUUGUAUUUUGUUUUCUUUCUUAUAUUAAAGAUUGAACAAUUGCA
rnacentral:lncRNA from 1 species